UGGCUCAGUUGGUAGAGCAUGGUGUUUGCAACGCCAGGGUUAUGGAUUUGAUUUCCAU
rnacentral:tRNA from 1 species